CGAACGCUGGCGGCGCGCCUAACACAUGCAAGUCGAACGAGCGAGAGAGAGCUUGCUUUCUCGAGCGAGUGGCGAACGGGUGAGUAACGCGUGAGGAACCUGCCUCAAAGAGGGGGACAACAGUUGGAAACGACUGCUAAUACCGCAUAAGCCCACGACCCGGCAUCGGGUUGAGGGAAAAGGAGCAAUCCGCUUUGAGAUGGCCUCGCGUCCGAUUAGCUAGUUGGUGAGGUAACGGCCCACCAAGGCGACGAUCGGUAGCCGGACUGAGAGGUUGAACGGCCACAUUGGGACUGAGACACGGCCCAGACUCCUACGGGAGGCAGCAGUGGGGAAUAUUGCACAAUGGGGGAAACCCUGAUGCAGCGACGCCGCGUGGAGGAAGAAGGUCUUCGGAUUGUAAACUCCUGUUGUUGAGGAAGAUAAUGACGGUACUCAACAAGGAAGUGACGGCUAACUACGUGCCAGCAGCCGCGGUAAAACGUAGGUCACAAGCGUUGUCCGGAAUUACUGGGUGUAAAGGGAGCGCAGGCGGGAAGGCAAGUUGGAAGUGAAAUCCAUGGGCUCAACCCAUGAACUGCUUUCAAAACUGUUUUUCUUGAGUAGUGCAGAGGUAGGCGGAAUUCCCGGUGUAGCGGUGGAAUGCGUAGAUAUCGGGAGGAACACCAGUGGCGAAGGCGGCCUACUGGGCACCAACUGACGCUGAGGCUCGAAAGUG
rnacentral:rRNA from 1 species